rnacentral:lncRNA from 1 species
UUAGCUUCCACCCUUUUUAGGAACAUUUUCUCCACCAAGGAUGCUUACAAUCCCUUACUUGCUAGACUUGAUUUGAUGGAGACUAGGAUCAUCGGUACUUGCGCUGUUGUGAGGUCUGAAAUUGAUAGUAAUGUUUGUCGUUUAGAUCUCCUUCAUUACAGUAUUGAGGAAAGAUUUGAUGUUGUCAAUCAUGCCAUGACCUGCCAUUUUAACAAUGUUGAUCAAUGCAUUCAGUAGAUGCUAUAGCACAAAGAAUCCAUGGAAGCUCAUAUUGUACAAUUCAUUCCCCAAUGAGGGUCUUAGAUCUCUUAGAUGACCUUGCCCUUUCACUUUCUUAUGUAAUGCACUCUUGGCGUCUCAUGUUCAUAUCUCUUUGGAUAUUUGUUUGUUUCUUAAACUCCUUAAUUAUGCUAAAUUUUCCUUGUGAUAAACAUAUAUAUAUAUAUUAUAUAUAUAUAUAUAUGGUAUAUAUAUAUNCCUUGUGAUAAACAUAUAUAUAUAUAUAUAUAUAUAUAUAUAUAUAUAUAUAUAUAUAUAGCAUGAUCUUCUUGGUUAUCCAUUGAUUGUUAGAUCUUGGUUGUGUAUCCUUUGCCUUUCUUGAUUGUUGUACUACUCUUAAUGAUUAUAUUUUGCUGAUUUUUGCUAACCCAUGUCUUUUGAGCUUUAAAAUUGUUAAUUCUUACACUUUGAUACCUUUUAUAUAUAACAAAAAGGGGGAGAAGGUUUAUGAGUACAUUUGCAUGCUCUUAUUGUCACCAGCAGCUAAAUUUUUUUUUGAAAAUUACAUGCAUAUGUCGAGGGGAAAAAUUUCCUUGAAAAAACAUAAAAGCAUUUCAAAAUUCCUUCUCAUUUGAGUUCGAAUGUUAUCAAACAAGGGCUUAUAAACUAAUAGGGUUAGGAGGAGUUAUUCAAAUGCAAAUUAUGCUAAAAGAUUUUAUCAUAUGAAAAAAGGGAAAAUUGUUAGCUUUAGAAUUGACUUAUUUUUUAUUUGACAAAAUUACUUUGAUUUAAGUUUGAUAAUAAGCAUUUAAAAUGAUUUGAUUCAUUGUUUUGAUCCCCUAAGGUCUAAGAAAAUGUUUGACAAAUCUUUUACAUUUAGAAGAAAUCAAAAAGAUUUCAAAUAUUGAGUUUUCAAUUAAAGGAAACAAAGAGCAAACAUGUUACUGAUCUAGGAUUGACUUUACGUCUUUGAAACUCGAUCCUACAUGGACAAAAGAUAGAAUAAAGAAGAGAAGCCUCGGGUUCAGGAUCUAUAAUGCACCUCGAAACUCGAUCCUAAGGUAAAAAUCAAGAAAAAUGCAAAGAAAGCUUGGAGGAUUGACAUUGGACAAGCCAAACUCGAUCCUAGAAGUAAGAAAAGAAGACAAAUAGCCCUUGGAAACUUGGAGGAUCAACAUUGAACAAACCAAACUAGAUCCUAGAAGAAAAAGAGAUGAAAUAAUGCAAGUCUUGGGAAGAGGGUCGACUUACCCUUUAAAAACUCGAUCAUCAAGCUCAAUUUCAAAGCAAAAUUCAAA